rnacentral:rRNA from 1 species
GAUGAACGCUAGCGGCGUGCCUAAUACAUGCAAGUCGAACGAAACUUCUUUAUCACCGAGUGCUUGCACUCACCGAUAAAGAGUUGAGUGGCGAACGGGUGAGUAACACGUGGGCAACCUGCCCAAAAGAGGGGGAUAACACUUGGAAACAGGUGCUAAUACCGCAUAACCAUAGUUACCGCAUGGUAACUAUGUAAAAGGUGGCUAUACUACCGCUUUUGGAUGGGCCCGCGGCGCAUUAGCUAGUUGGUAGGGUAAAGGCUUACCAAGGCAAUGAUGCGUAGCCGAAUUGAGAGGUUGAUCGGCCACAUUGGGACUGAGACACGGCCCAAACUCCUACGGGAGGCAGCAGUAGGGAAUCUUCCACAAUGGGCGAAAGCCUGAUGGAGCAACGCCGCGUGGGUGAAGAAGGUCUUCGGAUCGUAAAACCCUGUUGUUAGAGAAGAAAGUGCGUGAGAGUAACUGUUCACGUUUCGACGGUAUCUAACCAGAAAGCCACUGCUAACUACGUG